GUACGACCAAAAUUACCGAUCGGCACCGUUUCAGAGACGCAACGUGCACCUGUUUUAUCGUUAAUUUUGCUCGUAAACCUACGACCGUCAUACCAUUUGAUGCCAAGUGUACAACUGAAAUGAAAAUUGCCAACAGAAGUGUCAUGGUCUUGGUGGAAAAUGCUGUGUUCUUCAUUGACCUCUGUUUAAUAAUGGCUGGUGAUAGAAAACUAUCAGGAAUGCUUCAAGCUGGCAAUGGAGGGAAAUGUAAAAGUAGGACACUGAGAAAUCACAUGGUUUCAAACAUCUAGAAUAUGCUCACAGUCAGUCUUCCAGAUACUCACCUUAAAGGUUCCAGUGUGUUGUAGGAGACUUUGUCAGAACAGUACUUUAUACCUACAUACAUUGGAGAUACCAGACCAAGCAGAUAAUUACAGAUAUAUUGACACAGAAUCUGAAAUUAAUUGCAUAUCCCAACACAACAUAAGACUUUAAACUGUUAAAUAGGC